AUGGGAUUUUUGCUCCUGUUCGUUUUCGCUGUAGCCGCUUUGGAAGGUGUCCGGUCCCAGGUGCAGCUGGUGGAGUCCGGAGGGGAUGUGAAAAAGCCCGGAGACUCUCUCCGCCUCUCCUGCAAAGCCUCCGGCUUCACCUUCAGCAGCUACCAUAUGAGCUGGGUCCGACAGGCUCCCGGGAAGGGGCUGGAGUGGGUUUCACUCAUUUACACUGAUGGGAGCCAACAGUUUUACGCAGACUCAGUGAAAGGGCGAUUCACCAUCUCCAGAGACAAUUCCAACAACCUGCUGUAUCUGCAAAUGACCGGCCUGAAGCCCGAGGACACCGCCCGGUAUCACUGUGCGGGAGACACAGUGAGG